rnacentral:rRNA from 1 species
GUAACGGGGGAUGCACGUCUGAUACCGGAGAGGAAGCCUUAGAAACCGCUUUCACGUCCAAGGAUGGCAGCAGGCGCGAAACUUACCCAAUUAUUAUAUUGAUAGAGGUAGUUAUGACGCAUGUUAAGAUUUUAAAUUGAAACUUCAUUAAAGAUAGAUAAGCGACUGGAGGGCAAGUCUGGUGCCAGCAGCCGCGGUAAUUCCAGCUCCAGUAGUGCAUAUACAUGCUGUAGUUAGAAAGUUUGUAGCCAGUUUAUGGAUUGUUUUUGAUAAUAGUUAUUCUCCAAAAGAGCUAAUUUUAACUAAUUCAUAAAAAUAGAAGCGGAUGAAGGUAAUUGUAUUCACCAGCAAGAGGUAAAAUUUGAUGACCUGGUGAGGACAUUCCGAGGCGAAAGCGAUUGCCUAGUACAUUUUUGAUGGUAAAGAACGUAAGCCGGAGGAUCAAAGAUGAUUAGAUACCGUUGUAGUUCCGGCCGUAAAUUAUGCCAACUUGCAUUUUGAUAUUUAUACAAGAAGCAUAGAGAAAUUAAGAGUUUUUGGGCUCUAGGGAUAGUAAUCCGGCAACGGACAAACUUAAAGAAAUUGGCGGAAGGACACCACAAGGAGUGGAUUAUACGGCUUAAUUUGACUCAACGCGGGAAAACUUACCAGGGCCUAUGUAUAAGAGAAAGUUAACAUUGUAUGUAUACUUGAUUGUACUUUGAGUGGUGCAUGGCCGUUUUCAACACGUGGGGUGACUUGUCAGGUUUAUUCCGGUAACGUGUGAUGUGCAGUAUGCAACUAACUAAUGUUGUGAGACUUCUUGCGGUAAGCUUGAUGAAGAGGCGCUAUAACAGGUCAGUGAUGCCCUUAGAUGUUCUGGGCUGCACG